AAUCUUCGGCAAUGGGGGCAACCCUGACCGAGCGACGCCGCGUGGUGGAUGAAGGCCUUCGGGUUGUAAACACCUGUUGGGGGGGAACAAUUUUGAGUGAACCCCUGAGGAAGCACGGGCUAAGUUCGUGCCAGCAGCCGCGGUAAGACGAACCGUGCAAACGUUACUCGGAAUCACUGGGCUUAAAGCGUACGUAGGCGGCGUCAUUAGUCAGAGGUGAAAUCCCAUCGGCUCAACCGUGGAAUUGCCUCUGAUACUAUGAUGCUUGAGGGGGAACGGGGCAUUCGGAACUUCCGGUGGAGCGGUGAAAUGUGUUGAUAUCGGAAGGAACGCCGGUGGCGAAAGCGGAAUGCUGGGUCUCUUCUGACGCUGAGGUACGAAAGCUAGGGUAGCGAACGGG
rnacentral:rRNA from 1 species